rnacentral:misc_RNA from 1 species
AUCAUAGUGAGUCUGGUUGUACUUGUUCCACUCAUAUCCCGUAUGAACCCGAUUGAAGUAUUUUGGUUUUCUCGGACGAUAUUUAUCAUGCCACCAAUAAACCUGUGAAUCUAGGUUCACUUCAGCACCAGAUCCAAAAACUGCAUCGCCUUCCUCCAUGACUCCCAUGGCUUUUGAGGCUUUCAGUUCAAAAUUAUCCUCUACUGGAGCAGGUUUUGU